rnacentral:tRNA from 1 species
GGAGAAAUGUCCGAGUGAUUUAAGGUGCUUGACUCGAAAUCAAGUGAACGGUGUAUGUCGUUCCGAGGGUUUGAAUCCCUCUUUCUCCGCCA